AUUGAACGCUGGCGGCAUGCCUUACACAUGCAAGUCGAACGGUAACAGGUCUUCGGAUGCUGACGAGUGGCGAACGGGUGAGUAAUACAUCGGAACGUGCCCGAUCGUGGGGGAUAACGAGGCGAAAGCUUUGCUAAUACCGCAUACGAUCUACGGAUGAAAGCGGGGGAUCUUCGGACCUCGCGCGGACGGAGCGGCCGAUGGCAGAUUAGGGAGUUGGUGGGAUAAAAGCUUACCAAGCCGACGAUCUGUAGCUGGUCUGAGAGGAUGAUCAGCCACACUGGGACUGAGACACGGCCCAGACUCCUACGGGAGGCAGCAGUGGGGAAUUUUGGACAAUGGGCGAAAGCCUGAUCCAGCCAUGCCGCGUGCAGGAUGAAGGCCUUUGGGUUGUAAACUGCUUUUGUACGGAACGAAAAGCCUCUUUCUAAUAAAGAGGGGUCAUGACGGUACCGUAAGAAUAAGCACCGGCUAACUACGUG
rnacentral:rRNA from 1 species